rnacentral:rRNA from 1 species
GAUGAACGCUGGCGGCGUGCCUAAUACAUGCAAGUCGAACGCUGGAAAUCUAGCUUGCUAGAUUGAAGGAGUGGCGAACGGGUGAGUAAUACAUAAGCAACCUACCCACGAAGACUGGGAUAAUCUCUGGAAACGGGGACUAAUACCGGAUAGGUAAUCGGAAGGCAUCUUCUGAUUAUUAAAGGUUAAAAACACUGGUGGAUGGGCUUAUGGCGCAUUAGUUAGUUGGUGAGGUAACGGCCCACCAAGACGAUGAUGCGUAGCCGGCCUGAGAGGGUGAACGGCCACAUUGGGACUGAGACACGGCCCAGACUCCUACGGGAGGCAGCAGUAGGGAAGUUUCGGCAAUGGGGGAAACCCUGACCGAGCAACGCCGCGUGAGUGAUGACGGCCUUCGGGGUGUAAAGCUCUGUUGUAAGGGAAGAACGGUAGAUAGAGAAUAUCUAAAUGACGGUACCUUACCAGAAAGCCACGGCUAACUACGUG